CUUUUCUUUCUUCAUCAGUAGAAUAAAGUUGUACAUUGAUGAAAAACUGUUGUCUGUACUAUUAAAUCUGUUCUCAUUGUGUUGGCCAACUCUUUAAAGUGAUGGACCCUUGAAAUCAUCUGAGCUGCCGUUCUGUAACUGCUGUUAUAAAGGAAUCAGCAAACACAAAGAGACAAAAGACUGCCCACCUCCAUCUGGACCAACAUGCUGCUGCCAGACUGUGAAGAGGAGGAGGUGGAACUGAGAGAAGAGAAAAUACAGAUGUGAGAGGAGACAGAGAGAUUCAGGGAGGAGCUGAGCUGUUACUGAACUAUAGACGAGAGAGGAACUUCCAUAUUCAGCAGAGUUCAACAUACAAACCAGCAACAUUACCUUGAUUCAACAUGCUGUCACUGCAUCAUUCUGUAGUUUCUCUACUGCUUCUCUACACUCUAACAGACAUCAGCUGUGGAGAACUCACACCAGUAAAGACUGAAGAGUUCAGUGUAGAAGGCAGAACUGUGACUCUGUCCUGCAACGACACCAAACUGUCAUCAAGUGAUUAUUUCUUCUGGUAUCGACAACAUCCAGGAAAACCUCCAGAGUUCCUCAUCUCACACUCUGCUUCAGGAGAAGUAACUGCUCCAACAUCUGGACUGAUGAUUAAAGUGGAGCAAAACCAAAUCAACAUGAUCAUCUCCUCUGCUGCAGUGUCUGACUCUGCUGUGUACUACUGUGCUCUGAGGCCCACAGUGACAGGAAACACCAAACCUCUGUACAGAAACCUCUACAGCAAACACAAGUCAAUACUCCACAUGGUCCACUAGAGGGAGUCACACCCUGUCACACCUCAGUGUUUCUCUUCAUCCAGAUUCUUCUUGGUGCAGAUUCACACCAGACAGAAUGAACAACUAAAGCUGUACUAUUUUUGGGGUGUACCACAGGGUUCAAUCAUUGGUCCU